rnacentral:rRNA from 1 species
UUCGAUGCCCAAAUCACCCUGAAUGCACCUGGUCUGAUCAAAUAAAAAAAUCUAAACAGAUUUCAGCCUGGUUAGUACUUGGAUGGGAGAAUACCGAGGAACGCCAGGUGUUGUCGGAC